GACGAACGCUGGCGGCGUGCUUAACACAUGCAAGUCGAACGGAAAGGCCCUGCUUUUGUGGGGUGCUCGAGUGGCGAACGGGUGAGUAACACGUGAGUAACCUGCCCUUGACUUUGGGAUAACUUCAGGAAACUGGGGCUAAUACCGGAUAGGAGCUCCUGCUGCAUGGUGGGGGUUGGAAAGUUUCGGCGGUUGGGGAUGGACUCGCGGCUUAUCAGCUUGUUGGUGGGGUAGUGGCUUACCAAGGCUUUGACGGGUAGCCGGCCUGAGAGGGUGACCGGCCACUUUGGGACUGAGAUACGGCCCAGACUCCUACGGGGGGCAGCAGUGGGGAAUUUUGCACAAUGGGGGGAAGCCUGAUGCAGCAACGCCGGGGGCGGGAUGACGGCCUUCGGGUUGUAAACCGCUUUCGCCUGUGACGAAGGGUGGGUGGCGGUAAUGGGUAAAGAAGCCCCGGCUAACUACGU
rnacentral:rRNA from 1 species